rnacentral:lncRNA from 1 species
UGUUGAUUAAAAUCAGACAGUGAAGUUUAAUGGGCUGGUGGGUUAUUUUUAUAAAUCUAUGGCAGAUCAAACAACUACAAUUAAACCCAAAUGGGUAUAUGUGUACAUACAUACAUAAAGCCAGUUUAAAUAAAUACAAAAUUGCAAAUAUACCAUUAAUUUAUAUGUACAGAAGGCUGUAGCUUGGCCCUCUGGGAUCCUAACAUUCUCUUUUAUUAACUUUUUUACCACAUGAGAAGUCUAUUUUAUAUGCAAGCACUAAUACAUGAAUCUGUAAAUACUACCAAUAUUUAAUUUUCUACAAAAUCCAUCAAGUCAGGACAGCCUUGGUUAGAUUGGGCAUGUCACUGAAGUAUGCAACACAGACUUUAAAAAUAAUCCCCAUUUUUUCAAAAACAGUACAUUUAAGAAAUACUUGACCUGUGCAGCCACAGACUCCAUAAAUAGUUUUGUGGAUAAUAUAUUAUCCACAAAAUAAGUUAAUACUAAAUAAUUAGUAUUGUGCAACCAAACCCACAACACCCACAGGUUUCAAAGUGCUUAGCAAGACAAUAGAAAUUAUGGUUCCCAUUUUACAAUGGGAACAGAUGAAACAAAAAACUCAGGUGGCUUGUCUGAGAACAUACUGAAAAUCAUUGUCACAAAUGUGGAAAAAUGCCUGAGAAUCCUGACUCUCAAACCAGUCUUGAGCCACGAAUUACUUCACUGACUAAAUUUAUAAACAAAAUCUGAGACUAAAAAGCAGCUCGGUCCUUUCAGCUCAAAUAAGGAACAAAGAUUUCUCAUUGAUAUGAGAUAUGGUCAUUACAGCAAUCUGUAGAUCACUAAGACCAGAUACAGAUAUCCCAAAGUCACUCAUGGGGAAAGGUCCCUUAAUAAAAGACAGGUGGCCAGAAAGAAGACAGUGGCACGGAGAAAGCUAAACCCCAGAAUCCACUGGAACCACCAAAACUGAACUUGUGGCAGGGCAGCACUCCAGGGAAACCCCCAAAAUGCCAGCAGCAUUUCUGAGCUGCAGAAGUUUCUGCAGAGACCCCUGCACUUACAAACACUUCCCUCAUGCCGGAGUGUGGGAAGCCCGGCUGCGAGAAGGCUCCCGAGCCAUUUCACUCCUCGGAGGCCUGGCAGGGCCAUGGCAGGCAGAGGCUGUAGGAAAACUCUUGCUCCACAGCUGAGCCAGGGCCCUUU